rnacentral:rRNA from 1 species
UACGUAGGUGGCGAGCGUUGUCCGGAAUUACUGGGUGUAAAGCGCGUGUAGGCGGCAGGCCAUGUCGGUGGUGAAAGCGCCCGGCUCAACUGGGCGAGGUCCAUGGAAACUGGUCAGCUGGAGGACGGUAGAGGCGAGUGGAAUUCCCGGUGUAGUGGUGAAAUGCGUAGGGAUCGGGAGGAACACCUGUGGCGAAGGCGGCUCGCUGGGCCGGUCCUGACGCUGAAACGCGAAGGCGUGGGGAGCGAUCCGG